GUGGGGAAUAUUGGACAAUGGGCGAAAGCCUGAUCCAGCAAUGCCGCGUGAGUGAAGAAGGCCUUCGGGUUGUAAAGCUCUUUUACCCGGGAAGAUAAUGACUGUACCGGGAGAAUAAGCCCCGGCUAACUCCGUGCCAGCAGCCGCGGUAAUACGGAGGGGGCUAGCGUUGUUCGGAAUUACUGGGCGUAAAGCGCACGUAGGCGGUCUGUUAAGUCAGAGGUGAAAGCCCGGGGCUCAACGCCGGAAUUGCCUUUGAAACUAGAAGACUUGAACACGGGAGAGGUGAGUGGAAUUCCGAGUGUAGAGGUGAAAUUCGUAGAUAUUCGGAGGAACACCAGUGGCGAAGGCGGCUCACUGGACCGUUGUUGACACUGAGGUGCGAAAGCGUGGGGAGCAAACAGGAUUAGAUACCCCAGUAGUCC
rnacentral:rRNA from 1 species